rnacentral:rRNA from 1 species
UGGAGGCAGCAGUGGGGAAUCUUGCGCAAUGGCCGAAAGGCUGACGCAGCGACGCCGCGUGUGGGAGGACGCCCUUCGGGGUGUAAACCACUGUUGCCCGGGACGAACAUCCUCUUUCGAGAGGACUGACGGUACCGGGUGAGGAAGCACCGGCUAACUCCGUGCCAGCAGCCGCGGUAAUACGGAGGGUGCGAGCGUUGUCCGGAAUCACUGGGCGUAAAGGGCGCGUAGGUGGCGCGGGUAGUCGUCGGUGAAAGCUCAGGGCUCAACCCUGAGUCGGCCGGUGAUACUCCCGUGCUCGAGUGUGGUAGAGGCCAAUGGAAUUCCGGGUGUAGCGGUGGAAUGCGUAGAGAUCCGGAAGAACACCGGUGGCGAAGGCGGUUGGCUGGGCCACAACUGACACUGAUGCGCGACAGCGUGGGGAGCAAACAGGAUUAGAUACCCCGGU